rnacentral:rRNA from 1 species
CCUACGGGGGGCAGCAGUGAGGAAUAUUGGUCAAUGGACGAGAGUCUGAACCAGCCAAGUAGCGUGAAGGAUGACUGCCCUAUGGGUUGUAAACUUCUUUUAUAUGGGAAUAAAAUGUUCCACGUGUGGGAUUUUGUAUGUAUCAUAUGAAUAAGGAUCGGCUAACUCCGUGCCAGCAGCCGCGGUAAUACGGAGGAUCCGAGCGUUAUCCGGAUUUAUUGGGUUUAAAGGGAGCGUAGGUGGAUUGGUAAGUCAGUUGUGAAAGUUUGCGGCUCAACCGUAAAAUUGCAGUUGAAACUGGCAGUCUUGAGUACAGGAGAGGUGGGCGGAAUUCGUGGUGUAGCGGUGAAAUGCUUAGAUAUCACGAAGAACUCCGAUUGCGAAGGCAGUUCACUGGACUGCAACUGACACUGAGGCUCGAAAGUGUGGGUAUCAAACAGGAUUAGAUACCCGAGUAGUC